rnacentral:rRNA from 1 species
CCUACGGGAGGCAGCAGUGGGGAAUAUUGGGCAAUGGGCGCAAGCCUGACCCAGCCAUGCCGCGUGAGGGAAGAAGGCUUUCGGGUUGUAAACUUCUUUUACAGGGGAAGAGCAGAAGACGGUACCCUGAAAACAAGCCACGGCUAACUACGUGCCACCAGCCGCGGUAAUACGUAGGUGGCAGGCGUUGUCCGGAUUUACUGGGUAUAAAGGGCGUGUGGCCGGGAAGGCAAGUCAGAUGUGAAGUCCGGAGGCUCAACCUCCGAAUUGCAGUUGAAACUGUGUUUCUUGAGUACUGGAGAGGCAGACGGAAUUCCUGGUGUAGCGGUGAAAUGCGUAGAUAUAAGGAGGAACACCAGUGGCGAAGGCAGUCUGCUGGACAGCAACUGACGCUGAGGCGCGAAAGCGUGGGUAGCAAACAGGAUUAGAUACCCGAGUAGUC